GACGAACGCUGGCGGCGUGCCUAAUACAUGCAAGUAGAACGCACAGUUUAUACCGUAGCUUGCUACACCAUAGACUGUGAGUUGCGAACGGGUGAGUAACGCGUAGGUAACCUGCCUGGUAGCGGGGGAUAACUAUUGGAAACGAUAGCUAAUACCGCAUAAUAUUAAUUAUUGCAUGAUAAUUAAUUGAAAGGUGCAAUUGCACCACUACCAGAUGGACCUGCGUUGUAUUAGCUAGUAGGUGAGGUAACGGCUCACCUAGGCGACGAUACAUAGCCGACCUGAGAGGGUGAUCGGCCACACUGGGACUGAGACACGGCCCAGACUCCUACGGGAGGCAGCAGUAGGGAAUCUUCGGCAAUGGACGAAAGUCUGACCGAGCAACGCCGCGUGAGUGAAGAAGGGUUUCGGAUCGUAAAGCUCUGUUGUAAGAGAAGAACGGGUGUGAGAGUGGAAAGUUCGCACUGUGACGGUAGCUUACCAGAAAGAGGCGGCUAACUACGUG
rnacentral:rRNA from 1 species